rnacentral:tRNA from 1 species
GCGCUCGGCUAAGCCCGAAAGUGCGUUGCCCUCCGAAGGCAGAGGUCGCAGGUUCGAAAUGCUGUCGGGUGCGCCA